AACGUAGGACGCAAGCGUUAUCCGGAGUUACUGGGCGUAAAGCGCGUGUAGGCGGCGGGUCAAGUCCGGCGUGAAAGCGCCCGGCUCAACCGGGCGAGGUCGUUGGAGACUGGCUGGCUGGAGGACGGCAAAGGAGCAGGGAAUUCCGGGUGUAGUGGUGAAAUGCGCAGAGAUCCGGAGGAACACCAGUGGCGAAGGCGCUGCUCUGGGCCGCCCCUGACGCUGAGGCGCGAAAGCAUGGGGAGCGAACGGG
rnacentral:rRNA from 1 species